AUGUUUGAUGUUCUAACGUGGACCCGUAAUCCGGGUUGCGGACAGUGUCUGGUGGGUAGUUUGACUGGGGCGGUCUCCUCCUAAAGAGUAACGGAGGAGCACGAAGGUUGGCUAAUCCUGGUCGGACAUCAGGAGGUUAGUGCAAUGGCAUAAGCCAGCUUGACUGCGAGCGUGACGGCGCGAGCAGGUGCGAAAGCAGGUCAUAGUGAUCCGGUGGUUCUGAAUGGAAGGGCCAUCGCUCAACGGAUAAAAGGUACUCCGGGGAUAACAGGCUGAUACCGCCCAAGAGUUCAUAUCGACGGCGGUGUUUGGCACCUCGAUGUCGGCUCAUCACAUCCUGGGGCUGAAGUAGGUCCCAAGGGUAUGGCUGUUCGCCAUUUAAAGUGGUACGCGAGCUGGGUUUAGAACGUCGUGAGACAGUUCGGUCCCUAUCUGCCGUGGGCGCUGGAGAACUGAGGGGGGCUGCUCCUAGUACGAGAGGACCGGAGUGGACGCAUCACUGGUGUUCGGGUUGUCAUGCCAAUGGCACUGCCCGGUAGCUAAAUGCGGAAGAGAUAAGUGCUGAAAGCAUCUAAGCACGAAACUUGCCCCGAGAUGAGUUCUCCCUGAGACUUAGAGUCUCCUGAAGGAAC
rnacentral:rRNA from 1 species